GUUAUCAAGUGAAGGAACUAGAGUACUUGCAUUAGCUGACGUUUUCAGCUCUUGAGGAUGCCGCAUUAAUGUGCCGUGAAGUGCAUCGAGUAACUACUAAAAUUGCGCUUGUUAUUAAAAGACUUGAGUUAAACUUGCUCAAUCGCAUACUGGCUUGACAAAUUACAGGCUAUGCUUUUAAGCAAAAUUCUACCUCUGACCUUGUACGUGCUGUACACACAAAUAUUUAUAUUGCCACAGCGCAUCGAAGGACUACAAUGUUUCGUCUGCAACAGCAAGCAAGAUCACGGAUGCAAAAAUGAUGAACUGAAAGGUGGACAUACCAAUAAACGUUUCACCAAGACAUGCAAGGAAAGCGAUGCAGUAUGCGUGAAGUUGGGUUUGCAAGUGUCAGGCUACUACGAGCAACACUUCGCUGGGAGUGAUCUGAAGCGAUACUACGACUCCCUGGACAAGAACGCCGCAUGCCGCGGGAUCACGCCGCCAAGCGGUGCUGGCACUACCAGCGCCUCUGGCGGCCAUCUGGCAACUACAGCUUCAGUUGGAGGUCCCGCGGGUGUCGCUGCCGGCAACGGCUCGAAAGCCGCGGGCGCUGGCGCGACCGGAGCCCCGGCGGGGUCGACAACAGCGGUGCCGGCGGGGCGGCACGCCGGCGGCCAUGACGACGGUCAUGACGCCCACAGCCGGCACGGUAACCACGGGCCCGGCGGCCAUCAGCACCCGCCAGAUCAGCCGGCCGGCUCUCAUGUGCACAGACCCGCCGACGGCCAGAACGGCACCGGCGGGGGCCAGAAGAUUUGCCCGGUGAGCACAUCGCCGACUUAGGUGCUGAUCGGCCCAUCUAACAACACAUUCUCACGGUAACUUUCUAUGACGGAGCGCGUUUCACAUCAAAGGUUUAUACCGACUGGUCCAGGUCCGGUCCAGGUCCGGUCUGGUCCAGGUAUACCGACCGACUGGUCUGGGUCCAGGCUAUGUUACAGAGAAAAUAUAGCCCGCGG